rnacentral:rRNA from 1 species
AUUGAACGCUGGCGGCAUGCUUUACACAUGCAAGUCGAACGGUAACAGGCCGCAAGGUGCUGACGAGUGGCGAACGGGUGAGUAAUGCAUCGGAACGUGCCCAGUCGUGGGGGAUAACGCAGCGAAAGCUGCGCUAAUACCGCAUACGAUCUGUGGAUGAAAGCGGGGGACCGAAAGGCCUCGCGCGAUUGGAGCGGCCGAUGUCGGAUUAGGUAGUUUGUGGGGUAAAGGCCCACCAAGCCAACGAUCUGUAGCUUGUCUGAGAGGACGACCAGACGCGCUGGGAAUGAGACACGGCCCAGACUCCGACGGGAGGCAGCAGUGGGUAGUUUUGGACAAUGGGCGCAAGCCUGAUCCAGCAAUGCCGCGUGCAGGAAGGAGGCCUUCGGGUUGUAAACUGCUUUUGUACGGAACGAAACGGCUCUGGUUAAUACCUGGGGCUAAUGACGGUACCGUAAGAAUAAGCACCGGCUAACUACGUGCCAGCCGCCGCAGUAAGAC